GUAUUUACCCAACAAAUCGGACAAUCGCUAGUAAAGAGCAUGCCCACGACAGCAGAGUGAAGGAGGAAUACCAGCUAGGAGCCAACCAAGCACAAUGGAGGCAUGACAGCUCAAGACGUAGCAAGGUCGAACAAUGGGCUCGCAAGACAAGGGCUCGUCAAACAAGGCGCCCACUCAGCUGCGACACGCCUGGUGUCUCGCGUCAGUGAGCAGGAUAGCCUGCUGUGAGAUAGCGUGCCGAAAACAGACAGAGCAAACAGCUCGCUGCACCACGCUUGGCCCCGAUCUGGCACAUCUUCUGUUUGUGCCUCGAUAUGCGAGCCCUUUACUCCUUGCCAUUGUCGUUCAGUGAUUGUAAACAAGCAAUGGGGUGGAAUAACAUGGCAAAUGGUCGAUGGGGCUUCGCCUCCCGAACCAACAUGACUGGCAGCUGGGGCAAAGCCAGGAUGGCCCACUUGGAGAAGGAGACGCACUGGACGGCCGUGUUCAUGCGCCAGAUGGAGAGCUCCAGGGAGCCGUCGUCCACCCGCUCGGCCACCACGCUGAUGAGCGGGGGCCA